rnacentral:rRNA from 1 species
GAUGAACGCUGUCGGCGUGCCUAAUACAUGCAAGUCGAGCGAACGGACGAGAAGCUUGCUUCUCUGAUGUUAGCGGCGGACGGGUGAGUAACACGUGGAUAACCUACCUAUAAGACUGGGAUAACUUCGGGAAACCGGAGCUAAUACCGGAUAAUAUUUUGAACCGCAUGGUUCAAAAGUGAAAGACGGUCUUGCUGUCACUUAUAGAUGGAUCCGCGCUGCAUUAGCUAGUUGGUAAGGUAACGGCUUACCAAGGCAACGAUGCAUAGCCGACCUGAGAGGGUGAUCGGCCACACUGGAACUGAGACACGGUCCAGACUCCUACGGGAGGCAGCAGUAGGGAAUCUUCCGCAAUGGGCGAAAGCCUGACGGAGCAACGCCGCGUGAGUGAUGAAGGUCUUCGGAUCGUAAAACUCUGUUAUUAGGGAAGAACAUAUGUGUAAGUAACUGUGCACAUCUUGACGGUACCUAAUCAGAAAGCCACGGCUAACUACGUGCCAGCAGCCGCGGUAAUACGUAGGUGGCAAGCGUUAUCCGGAAUUAUUGGGCGUAAAGCGCGCGUAGGCGGUUUUUUAAGUCUGAUGUGAAAACCCACGGCUCAACCGUGGAGGGUCAUUGGAAACUGGAAAACUUGAGUGCAGAAGAGGAAAGUGGAAUUCCAUGUGUAGCGGUGAAAUGCGCAGAGAUAUGGAGGAACACCAGUGGCGAAGGCGACUUUCUGGUCUGUAACUGACGCUGAUGUGCGAAAGCGUGGGGAUCAAACAGGAUUAGAUACCCUGGUAGUCCACGCCGUAAACGAUGAGUGCUAAGUGUUAGGGGGUUUCCGCCCCUUAGUGCUGCAGCUAACGCAUUAAGCACUCCGCCUGGGGAGUACGACCGCAAGGUUGAAACUCAAAGGAAUUGACGGGGACCCGCACAAGCGGUGGAGCAUGUGGUUUAAUUCGAAGCAACGCGAAGAACCUUACCAAUCUUGACAUCCUUUGACAACUCUAGAGAUAGAGCUUUCCCCUUCGGGGGACAAAGUGACAGGUGGUGCAUGGUUGUCGUCAGCUCGUGUCGUGAGAUGUUGGGUUAAGUCCCGCAACGAGCGCAACCCUUAAGCUUAGUUGCCAUCAUUAAGUUGGGCACUCUAAGUUGACUGCCGGUGACAAACCGGAGGAAGGUGGGGAUGACGUCAAAUCAUCAUGCCCCUUAUGAUUUGGGCUACACACGUGCUACAAUGGACAAUACAAAGGGCAGCGAAACCGCGAGGUCAAGCAAAUCCCAUAAAGUUGUUCUCAGUUCGGAUUGUAGUCUGCAACUCGACUACAUGAAGCUGGAAUCGCUAGUAAUCGUAGAUCAGCAUGCUACGGUGAAUACGUUCCCGGGUCU